GUGAUGGAAUGUCCUGAGGGGAUAAAAGCUGGAGUCGGUCUCAGCACAUCUCAGUUACUCAUUUUGACUCGUUUGGACAAGUGAGUUACUACAGCGCUGAUUUGGAAAAAUGACUAGAAAGCUACCUCCAAUUUCUCGGCCUCAACCCCAGCCUCAUUUUCUUUCUGUUCCUUCCCGCUCUCGUCUUCCAGCCCUCCUUCCCCCCGUUACUCCUCAAACUUCCUGCCGUCAGCCUCCUCUCCAGAGCCGUCCAAGUUGUUCGAUUUUCUGCCCUACCCGUUUGCCCAAGCUGACUAAUGUCGCCCCUUCCCAGUACCCUACCUCAAGGAACUUCCUGCCCGGCCCUUCCUCUGUUACUACCAGGGCGUCCGUGUGCCGCCGCCCUGUUCGUCAGGCACCCCUUUCCCGGUGUCCCCCUAUCUUUCCCCCUCACCCUCCUCAUAGCCCUUCUUUCUAGUCCCCUGUACUCUAGUCCCCACUCCCUAUCCAGCCACCCCCAACCAGACCUGACGGCUUGCAAAUCUCACCCUGGAGAAAUGGUUUCCCUCCUACUGGGGCAGUUCCCAGGCGGUCCAGAAUUGCCAGGACUUGUGGAUUCCCAGCAGCGACCUGGCAGACACGGGGAAUCCAAGACCAUGGCAAGCGAACAUUCGGCCUGGCCUGCGCCUUUCCUCUCCUGCCUGGGCAGCCAGACUGCACAAGCCUCUGCAUUUGAACUGGCUUCUCCGUGGAACUUGGUUUGUAACCACGGAGCAAACUGCAGGACCAGGGGCAGAGAAGUUGAUGGCGAGCCUUUUUCCUGGCAGUAUCCAGAGGCGGUUCUAGUAAAGAGGCUGGAUUCCGAGAGGCCAGAGCGGUAUCAUACGAACGCCGUUGCCUGGAGACGGAGUGGGGUGCCAUUGCCUAGAGACUGCAGAAGGCCCGCAGCCAAGCGAGUGGUAAGAGGACGCCGAGAGAGCCCCGGACCCACGGAGCAGCCCCAAGGCUAUGGCGGGACACCCGAAAGAGAGGGUGGUCACAGAUGAGGUCCAUCAGAACCAGAUCUUGCGGGAGCUGUACCUCAAAGAGUUACGAACCCAGAAACUCCACACGCAGUACCAUGUGAAUCCCCUGCGCAAGGUUCACAGGAUUACGAGGAAGCCUAUGUCUUGGCAUGAUAACCUGGAGGAACCCGCAGACGCCAGGUUUCUGAAUCUCAUUCACCAUGCUGCCCAGGGGCCAACGAAGAAGUACCCGGAGGCACAGACUGAAAACCAGGAAAUUGGGUGGGACUCAGAAGCCUUGGUCGACCCAGAACGCCGUGACCACAGGAUGAACCACUUCAGGGUCUACAGUGACAUCACUCUGUACAAAGCUAAAAUGUGGAGCUUGGGAGAAGAUGAUCGCCACAAGUAGCAUCUCAGCUGUGGAGUCAGGCCCUGGAUUUAAUGCCCUAAAUAUCCACUGCCUAGAAGACUAAACAUUAUUUUAACCCCCCGUCCCCCAUCCAUAAUUCAUGGAUAAUGGCAAAAAUUAGGAAGCAUAAAAAAUAUGCGGAAGAAGGAAAUAAAAAUUGCCCAUUAUCUCACCAUAUGGAAGUGACUAAUGUUAGCAUUUUAAACCAUUUGUUUUUAAAAUUAAUAAUAAAUUGCAUAUAUUUAUUGUGUA